GGAGGAAUUCUGAGGAUUUUUCCAGAGGCCAAUGCACAGUUCGUCGACAUCGAACCCAAGUUCGACCGCCUCCUCUUCUUCUGGUCAGACCGGCGGAACCCCCAUGAGGUGCAGCCGGCAUACCACACCAGGUAUGCCAUAACAGUAUGGUAUUUUGAUGCCGAUGAACGAGCUCGGGCCAAGGAGAAAUAUCUAACAAGUAACCAUGGUUGACAGAGGAAGAACAAUGAUUCCAAGCACCAUCCUCCUUUUGAAGCUUCCAGUCUGUUAUUCGAACUCAAUCAGCAUGACAGGGUGAUCUCCAG